rnacentral:snRNA from 1 species
GUGCUCGCUUCAGUAAUACAUAUACUAAAAUUGGAAUGAUACAGAGAUUAGCAUGGCCCCUGCGCAAGGAUGACAUGCAAAUUUGUGAAGCAUUCCAUAUUAUU